UACGAAGGGGGCUAGCGUUGCUCGGAAUCACUGGGCGUAAAGCGCACGUAGGCGGAUCUUUAAGUCAGGGGUGAAAUCCCGGAGCUCAACUCCGGAACUGCCUUUGAUACUGGGGAUCUUGAGACCGGAAGAGGUCGGCGGAACUGCGAGUGUAGAGGUGAAAUUCGUAGAUAUUCGCAAGAACACCAGUGGCGAAGGCGGCCGACUGGUCCGGUUCUGACGCUGAGGCGCGAAAGCGUGGGGAGCAAACAGG
rnacentral:rRNA from 1 species